rnacentral:lncRNA from 1 species
CUAAGGCAUCUAAAGUACUUACUACUUCGUACUCAUGGGAUCCAAUAAUGCUCACAUAAUGUCAUCAAUAGAGUGGACCAGUGUGAUGUUUUGUGGAAUGUCAGAACAAUCAAGAUCACUUCAGACUAAUAUGGCAGUGAGCAAGAGAACUAAUGGAGCCCGUGGCAACACUGGGAAGACAUAUUGUUGGCCCUGUUGGGUAACAGCAAAUCACUUCUGAUGGACCUUGCAAAUUGGUAUGGAGGAAAAGGCAUUAGCCAGUUGUAGCAAGGAAACCAAAAGGUAUAAACAUUCACUGAUUGAAAAACAAUGUCAUAAAGUCAUCCCAGUAUCUGUGAGGAGUUGGUUCCAGGACCCCUGAGGACACCAAAAUCCUCAGAUGCUCAAGUCCCUG